AGAGGUAUAAUGUGGACCUCUGGAAGUUAUGGAUUUAAAAUCUGAGUGGCAGAUCUUCCGGAUCGAUCUACGUAGUGACGUAUUUUAUAUAAGUUAUAUAUUCUAUCGAUAUGAAUUCUGAGGUUGGAUUUGAUUACUGUUCUAGGCGGCGAUCGUCAUGACGCCUUGAUGUGUGGUGCUAGGGAGUUGUUGGACGAACUCCAGGUGAGUGGGCAGUUUUGUUUUCCGUAUACAUAUAUAAUUGACGUUUCCCAGAAAUUGAAAAUGUUACGAAAGUAUGCUUUAAAUGCAAAGUAUAAAAGUAUGUUUUCAAAUGCCAUGAGUAGAUUAUAUGAAAGAUAUGAUUUGAGAUAUAUUAGUUGAAAUACCAUGCUUAGAAGUAUGUGAAAAGUAUAUAGAAAUGUGAAUCGAAAUGCCAUGCAUGAAAUGAUAUGAAAAGUAUGAAUUGAGAUAUGAUGCAUAUGUAUGAAUUGGUGCUGUGGACGCACAGGUGAGUAUCAGGUGAGUAUAUUACUGCUAUGAUGAUGUUGAGAUAUAUUGAGCUCAUAACCUGCACCUUGGUAUUAGUGCUUAUUAUUAUUCACCGCAUCGCAUGCUCACCUUGGAUCCAAGUAGAUGCUAGUCGUACAGACCACCGGGGGUGGUUCCGACAUGCCAGUCGUACAGACCAUUAGAGGGGUUCCGACUGGUAGGUGACCUUAGAUUAUGUGCACAGAUGAUUGAUGAGAAAAGCACUAGAGCAUAUUAUUACACCAUUAAGUCGUACAGAUUACAUUAGGUAAUUCCGACUUAUGUGCAGUGUAGUGCCGUACAGGUCAUACUAGGUGACUCCGGCAUGGCCGAACAGGUCACAGUUGGUGACUCCGGUUAUAUGAGAUUUUGAGCUCUACAUUCAGCCGUACAGGACCAUUGUAGGGUCUCCGGUUGAUUUCUUUCUUGCACCUGAUAUGAUUAUUGCUGAUGCAUUCAUACUUAACUGUUGAAUUUAGACAUGGCAUGGCAUGAUUGAUAAAGAUAAAUGUUGAGAUAGUAAAAAUGAAGUUUUGAUAAUAUAUAUGUAUAUUUAUAUUUUACAUUUCUGGGAAAGUAUACAGGUUUUACGGAGAGGGGUUACAACGUUUUGAGAAAUGUUUGGAUUUGGAAAAGAAUUGUUUUACUGACCCACUCAAUUUUGGUUUUGCGCCCCUCCAGGUUCAUGAAUCACAAAGGUGUGGUGACUACGAGGAAUUCGACGGUGUUCUGACAGAUUGGACAAAAUUAGGACUCACUUUCGGGUGUAUCAACUUAGGAAUUGUAUCUUAAAGCUUCCGUACUGUGCAAAUGGUUACGUCACUCUCACGUGACGGCCAGCAUGCCCUCCUUCGGGACGGGGUGUGUCAGUUGGUAUCAGAGCAUGGUUGCAAUCUUGGACAUUUUGAGAAGUUCUAGUGAAUUCUGUCAGAACUACACCGCCUCGUAGCAAGCCACUUAGUUAGAGGAAUUUAGUCUCCCUAAUAUAACGGUUUAGGGGAAACUAUUAUUAUGGUGAUUCAGUCUAUUAUAAAAAGGGACAUUUUAAGAUGGGUUAUGAGUUGAAUUUGAAUCACUUAAGAGAAAUGAUGAACCUGAGGGAGCGAAGUAACGGUUUAACCAUUUGGAAAAGAUGUUUCGGAUUAUGCAAGUCAAAGGAAUCUUCCUUCUGACAAGGGGUCGAGAUGACUACCUGGUUUGAGUUAUGAACGUGUAUCCUGAUGGAAGCAGGAGUAUUAAUUGUUGUCAUCGGAGGAACAGCCGAUUUAAAAUUGUUUAAGGACUUGUUUAAGGAAAAGUUUAUCCCUCCGGCAUUUAUCGAUGGUAGUAAACAAGAGUUUACAAAUAUGAGACAAGGAAGGUGAUGAUCGAGGGAUAUUAUAGAAAGUUUUCAGACUUGCCUUGUUCCAUCCAGAUAUUGUUGUUAUUGGUGGAGGUGUUAUGUUGUUUUAAGCUGGGUGGCAAAAAGGGAAGUGGUAUUUUGGGUGACCACUAUCCAUUGUAGUUCUUAUCAGGAGUAUGCUAGAUGUUGUUGAGUCUUGAGGACUCUGAGAACAUGAGCAACGAGAAUAAAGAAGAAUAAGAAAUGAAUGGGAAUUUAAAGAAGACGAUAAAGUUAAUGAUUCGUCAUAUCAAGGAGAUAGAAAGAUUCAGAGCUUCGAAAGAAGUGAAGCUAGAGUUAAUUCUUCCAGCUGAGGUUUUAAUGUCGCUGGUCAGAGUAAAAGUGAUGGAUAUACUGGUAAUCCCAGAUAUUUGAGACAAGGUGUCUCGAGUAAAGGAAAUGUACUUUGUGCAGCAGGUACAAAAUUAACACUUUGGGAAAUGUGAAAUUAAUGAAUGUGUUUAUGUAAACAGAGGGGACACAUAAUUGUGAAUCGUCCCUAAAAUCAGUUGUACUCAACAAUUUUCCAUGAUAUCAUAGUGUCAAUUCAGCAGAGUUAUGGACUUAGUAGUUUGGUUGGAUUGACCAUGAGUACCGAGAGAUUUGAUGAGUUAUAUGUUCAGCCGUACAGGCCAAAAGAGGUGGAUCCGGCUGACACAUGAGAAAUUGGUGAGUUAUAGGCUCGGCUGUACGGACCACAAGAUGUGGAUCCGGCCGACGUAUUUACUGGGGAAUUGAUGUGUAAGUCGUACAGGUCACUAUAAGUGACUCCGACUAAUGUGCUAGCAUAGAUGGUUGAGCUGGAGAAUCAGCCGUACAGGUCAUUCUAGUUGACUCCGGCUGAUAUAUUUCUGAGUAUGGACAAUGAUGCCAAAGAAAGUAAUGUUGGAACGUGAUAGAGGCGUAUAUGUGUAUUCUAAUGAAAAAAAAAAAUGAUAGUAUUACACCUUUGGGAAUUGUUGCUUACUUAUCGAGACAACGAUGAUUUAUCAGUAUUGCGGGCUGCAGACCGUAAUAUUAAUAACUCAUUCGUGGAUUCGUUAAGCAAGCAAACCGGUAUUUUAUUUUAUGUUAGUGUUGUACUUAUUUAGAAUGUUCAGUAAUAAUAAAGUAUGUAUUGGGUCAGUUAAUUUUAUUCCAUUAGAUUGAUUAUUUAUAGUUGUGACUAGAUGGAAUAUUACGGGAAACCAGUUACUUUCCAUCGAUCUGGAUGACCAGAGAUUACUUUUGUAAGUAUGCAAAAUGGAUUGAGUCAGGCCGUUAUUUAUGCUGUGAGAGCAAAGAGAUUGUUUUCGAAAGGCUGUCAAAAAUACUUAGCUCAUGUGGUGCUAAAUGAUGUUGUUUGGAGUAGUGUGAAUAAUGUCGAAAGAGUUAGACUUUUCUUGAUGUCUUCUCUGAAAGUAUACCUGGAUUGUCUUCAGGCAGAGAUAUGAGGUUCAUUAUUGAUUUGUUGCCAGGUAUAAAUUUAUGUUAAAGAUUGGUUCAUGAUGAGUUAAGGGAAUUGGAAAUUCAGUUGAGAGAAUUGGUUGAUAAAAGUUUUAUUCAACCUAGUACAACACUGUUGAGGAGCACCAGUUUGUUGGUGAGAAAGGAAAUGGACUUAGAGAUUGUUCAUUGAUUAUAGAUAAUGGAAUCGGGUAACGAAUGAGAACCGUUAUCCAUUGUGGUGUAUUGACGCUCAUUUGAUCAGUUCAAAGGUGCUUGUAUAUUUUCAAAGAUUGACUUGAAUACUGUUUAUUAUCAAUUGAAGAUUAUGAGUUAUUGGAUGAAGUAUUCCAAUAAUGCCUUGAUAAAUAGAUAUCAUUUUCAUUGAAGAUAUUCUGGCAUAUUCUGAGCCAGAGCAGAACAUGUAAACGUAUUAAGUCGGUGGAACAAAGAUUGGAAGAAUGUCGGUUGUAUGCUAAGUAGCAAAUGCUAAAGUUAGAUGAAUCAUGUGGCAUUCUGAGAAUUGUUAUAUAUUCUUAAGGUAUUCAAGUGAAUCCUUAAAAGAUAGCAGAAAUUGAGAAAUUGGAACAACCACAAGCCAUAAUUGAGAUUCGGAAAUUCUUAACUUAUCAGGCUAUUUUGGAUGGUUGUGAAAGAAUUUUUAGUCAUUGUUUUGUCAUUGAUGAGACUGUUGAGAAAGGAGGUUAUGUAUGAGUGGGAAGGAAAUUGUGAGCAAAGGAUUCAACAACUGAAGUAUUUCCUCACUCAUGCACGUAUUUUAGUAAUCCCAAAGAAUAAUGGUAAUCAUAAAUUUUUAGUGAUGUUUCUUGAAUGGUAUUGGAUGCAUGUUGAUGCAAAUGUUAGGGUGAUUGCAUACGUUUCACGACAAAUGGAAUCUCAUGAGAUGAAUUACCCUACUGGUGAUUUGGAAGUCACGAUUACCAUCCUUGCUGUGAAGUUAUGGAGACAUUCUAUGUUGAUAAGAAUGCAAGAUUUUACAAAUCAAAAGAGUCUCCAAUAUUUGUUUACUUGGAAGGAUUUUGAUAGGAGGCAGCGAAUGUGAAUUGUAUUGCUUAAUGAACAUGAUUGUACGAUCAGGGUGAUCGUAAAGUUUGUUCUAACUGAAGCACUUGGUGAGAAGACUACAAUAAGAUUAAUGUCUGGCACGUUUGCCAAGAGUAUCAUCUUGUGGAUUGAAACCAACGGAAGAAAAAUUAAGAAUGGAAGAUCGAGAAGAAGUUAUACUUGUUAAAUUUCAAGUUAGGCCUGUUUGGUAAGGUCGUACUUGAAACUUAAAUGCUUGACGAAGAAAUUUAAGAAUUAACCAAGGUAGAGAAAGAAGGUAAGUUAAAUCCUAAGUUAAUCGGACUUAAGUGAUUAUCGAAAAGUUGGUGAAGUUGCUUACAAGCUUGUGAUGCCCUCAGAAUUGGUUAAGGUGCAAAACAUAUUUUAUGAUUCGAUGCGUUGUCACUAGGUGGCAGAUUCGUCACAUAAGAUUCUGGUGUAACUAUUGAGAAUUAAAUUGGAUUCGACUUGAUAAGGAACCAAGGACGACUUUGGAUUGGAAAAAGAAGGUCCUGAGAAAUUAAGACAGAGUAAGUAGUAGUAAAAGCUUUGUGAAGGAAAUCAUUCAGUAGAAAAGUAUGUGGGAGAAAGAGAAUCGGAUGAGAAAGAUUUACCCGAAGCUAUUGUUGGAGUAUGGUUUGAUUUUAGUUGGUUGCUGGAAUUUCGGGGACGAAAUUCUAUAAGGAGGGAAGAUUGUCACAGCCCGUCCCGGAAUUUUAAUUCCGAGGACAUGAAAAGACGAAAAUGCCCUUAAACGGGACUAAGGGGCGAAAAUUUAACAAUUUGGAUUGAGUUGGACACGUGGGAUCCCCACACCCCUCAAUCCUCUCCCUAUUUUCUGCAUACUGUCUCUCUCUCCUCCCUCACGAAUCUCUCUCUCUCUGUCACUCUUCUUCUCCGUUCGAACAAACCAACCACAAAACAACCUUAAACUUCCACCAACGACGGAGUUAAGACUACCAUCGAACUCCUGGAGACUCCACGAUCACGUAGACACCAAUUUCAGGUAAGUUUUACUUCGGAAAACCUAGAUUCUAAACUCCCCGUGAAAGUGCACUGUUCAUGAUCUUCGAAUUGACUUUGUUUUAGGACAAUCCAAGCUCACAGUGAGCUUAGUGAGGUUCCAAGGAAGCUCGGAGUGCUUCGUUGGAAGUUUUUGGACGUAAGAACACGGAGAUCGAUAAGUUCAAAGUUUGGCCGGAGCUUUCGAGGCAUUUUCCGGCGAAUCCCCGGCGAGUUAGGCGUCGAGGUAGGUAUCAAUCUCUUUCGUCUCGUCAAGUACUACAAACUUUCCUUUUUGUUUCACUCAAUUUCGUUGAGUAUUGAAGAAGUUAUACUCAUUUGAAAAAUACCCAGUUUCCGGCGACCUCCGAGGCUUUCGAGGCAGUUUCCGGCCAAACUACGGCGAACUAGGUGUUGGGAAAGGUACCAUUCUCUUUGUCUCUUCAAGGGCUACAACUUUCGUUUUUGAAUCACUUGAUUUCGUUGAGAAAUGACAAAGUUAUGGUAAUUUGAAAAACUGCCCAGAAAACGGCCGCCGGAAAAACCAGUCCGGCGACCCAAGGAAGAAGAAGGUGCUACAGUAAAAAAAUAAAUAAAAAUAAAAUUAUUUUAAAAAUAUGUCGACGUCCGUGACGUCGAGUAGAUCACCGUGGUAUAUUCAUAUACCCAAAUUGAACACCGUAUGAGAAAGUUAUUGAAGAUUGUUGGUUAGGUGUUCAAAUAACGUUUUUAUAGUUUUCACAUUUAGGUGAAAAUGUGAAUUGAUGAUCCGACCGUUGGAUCGUCACCAAACUUUGAUACGUUGUAAUACGUAAUAUUUGAGGAUUAUUGGAACUUACGGAUUGGGAAUCCGAGUUACGGAUCUUCCGGAAUUGGAAUUUGUAAGUCCAUAAUAUAAAAUGUUAACCGUCACUUAGUUUUGGAAAUUGACGGAGAUCCGACCGUUGGAUGGUAAUGAAAUUUUAGGAUGUUGUCCUAGAGGUAUAAUGUGGACCUCUGGAAGUUAUGGAUUUAAAAUCUGAGUGGCAGAUCUUCCGGAUCGAUCUACGUAGUGACGUAUUUUAUAUAAGUUAUAUAUUCUAUCGAUAUGAAUUCUGAGGUUGGAUUUGAUUACUGUUCUAGGCGGCGAUCGUCAUGACGCCUUGAUGUGUGGUGCUAGGGAGUUGUUGGACGAACUCCAGGUGAGUGGGCAGUUUUGUUUUCCGUAUAUACAUAUAUAAUUGACGUUUCCCAGAAAUUGAAAAUGUUACGAAAGUAUGCUUUAAAUGCAAAGUAUAAAAAAGUAUGUUUUCAAAUGCCAUGAGUAGAUUAUAUGAAAGAUAUGAUUUGAGAUAUAUUAGUUGAAAUACCAUGCUUAGAAGUAUGUGAAAAGUAUAUAGAAAUGUGAAUCGAAAUGCCAUGCAUGAAAUGAUAUGAAAAGUAUGAAUUGAGAUAUGAUGCAUAUGUAUGAAUUGGUGCUGUGGACGCACAGGUGAGUAUCAGGUGAGUAUAUUACUGCUAUGAUGAUGUUGAGAGAUAUAUUGAGCUCAUAACCUGCACCUUGGUAUUAGUGCUUAUUAUUAUUCACCGCAUCGCAUGCUCACCUUGGAUCCAAGUAGAUGCUAGUCGUACAGACCACCGGGGGUGGUUCCGACAUGCCAGUCGUACAGACCAUUAGAGGGGUUCCGACUGGUAGGUGACCUUAGAUUAUGUGCACAGAUGAUUGAUGAGAAAAAGCACUAGAGCAUAUUAUUACACCAUUAAGUCGUACAGAUUACAUUAGGUAAUUCCGACUUAUGUGCAGUGUAGUGCCGUACAGGUCAUACUAGGUGACUCCGGCAUGGCCGAACAGGUCACAGUUGGUGACUCCGGUUAUAUGAGAUUUUGAGCUCUACAUUCAGCCGUACAGGACCAUUGUAGGGUCUCCGGUUGAUUUCUUUCUUGCACCUGAUAUGAUUAUUGCUGAUGCAUUCAUACUUAACUGUUGAAUUUAGACAUGGCAUGGCAUGAUUGAUAAAGAUAAAUGUUGAGAUAGUAAAAAUGAAGUUUUGAUAAUAUAUAUGUAUAUUUAUAUUUUACAUUUCUGGGAAAGUAUACAGGUUUUACGGAGAGGGGUUACAACGUUUUGAGAAAUGUUUGGAUUUGGAAAAGAAUUGUUUUACUGACCCACUCAAUUUUGGUUUUGCGCCCCUCCAGGUUCAUGAAUCACAAAGGUGUGGUGACUACGAGGAAUUCGACGGUGUUCUGACAGAUUGGACAAAAUUAGGACUCACUUUCGGGUGUAUCAACUUAGGAAUUGUAUCUUAAAGCUUCCGUACUGUGCAAAUGGUUACGUCACUCUCACGUGACGGCCAGCAUGCCCUCCUUCGGGACGGGGUGUGUCACAAAUAAUUCAAAACCUGUCUCUAACUCUCUGAUCCAAUGAUCCAAAUAAUUAAGUAAUGUUAACAAUUACAUGUUAAUUUUUUUUAAGUAAUUAAGUAAUGUUAACAAUCACCAUGUUUUAUAUUAGGAUUAUUUUAUUAUCAAAUUGGAUUAUUCAUUAAAUUGGAUUAUUAUCAAAUUUGAUUAUUAUUCAUCACCAUGUUUUAUAUUAGGAUUAUUUUUUUAUGAAAUUGGAUUAUUAUUCAUUAAAUUAGAUUAUUAUUCAUUAAAUUGGAUUAUUAUCAAAUUGGAUUAUUAUUCAUCACCAUGUUUUAUAUUAGGAUUAUUUUUUUAUGAAAUUGGAUUAUUCAUUAAAUUGGAUUAUUAUCAAAUUGGAUUAUUAUUCAUCACCAUGUUUUAUAUUAGGAUUAUUGUACUAAUUCAUUAUAUAUAAAUUAUUAUGAUGUGUUUAGACUUCUUUCAUUAAUUACUACAUAUUUUCUACAUUCACAAUGUUUGUCAGCUAGCUAUAUAAUCAACUUGAUAAUGCUAAAUCCAUCAUGCAAUGCAUUUCUUUCCAAUUUUUUGUGAUAAACUAAUAGAUAAUUGACUAAAU
rnacentral:lncRNA from 1 species